CAAUUAACAAUCUAAAGUUUCUAAUCAUAUUCUAACAAAUCUAAUUAGAAGUUAAAAUCUAAUCAAUCUCUAAUGAAAUAAUUAAUCUAAUUAAUUUCUAAAACCUAAAUCAAGUUCUAAAAAUUAAUCAGUCUAAUUAAUUUCUAAAAUCUAAACAAGUUCUAAAAAUUAAUUAAUUUAAAGUGAUGAAUUGGAUGGAAGGGGAGAAUGCAAGUCAAAGUCACGCAUGUCUCACGGCAAUAGGCUGGGAGAAGUUAAUCACGUGUUAGCCAGUCAACCAGAUAUUUAAACGUAUUAUUUCCCUCAUCCUGAGCUAACUUAUGUCUGCCGCGUUGGAGAUCUCCUCCGGCGGCGGCGAAACCCUAAUGUCAACAUAAUCUAUAUCAUCUCCUUCACCUUCGUCUCAUGAUUACAAAUAUCACCAUAAUACAAUCCAAUUCUUUUUCAAAGAUCUGAACCGAAGAAAUGUAUUGAAGAACCAUAAAUCUUAGAUUCAAAAUUAAAUCAAAACCACAUGGAACCAAAGACCGAUAGGUUGGGUCUUUGAUUCCCCAAGCCCCCCUCUACAUCCCUGUAACCAGCAUGAAGCAAAUCAUUGAAGAAAGAAGAUCACUCACCAGCACCGAUGAUGGAAAUCAGGUCUAGGUGAGGACCUUGAUACAAGUUAGGGGUUGCAGGCUGACUUGUGGAACUAGUUUAACCAUGUUAUUGGGAGCAAAUUGGUGAUUGAACCAUGUGAUUGCAUUCAAACUACAGACCAAGGCAUGCUACAGGCUUUUCCAUUCAAUUUGUUUGUUGCACUCCAACGGUUUCUGCAUGGAUGUGUUGUUGUUUAGAUGCUAUCCAUGUUCUACAUGGUUAUACUAUGGUUGUUUGUUAUGUAAUGCAAAUGAUGUAGUAGUGUAAUGUAUGUUGACUGGCUUGCUCAUGUUGGUGGUUUAAUGCUUGUUCCUGCAGGUUCAUGCUUGUGUAACAGUAUGAUUGGUAAGUAUGUGUGGAUUGCAGCAUCUAUGUGUGUGUUUAGGUCCUGAUGCAGGUUGAGCAUGUGUAGAACAACGAAAAUUGGUUUGGAUUGAACAAGAUGCUAGCCAUGAUGAAUAUACAUGCUGCUACUACAUUGUGAAUGAUGUUGAACUGAACUCAUGUUAACCAUUUCCCUGCUGUUGAUUGUUGUUGUUUUGUAGGUCUACUGUAGAAUUUUGGAAGGCUUUUUGUCAUUUGUAUUGCAUAUGGCUGCUUAGAUCAUGAAUAUGUGCAUGUAUGUGUUCAUGUUAGUUGUUAUCUUUUAUGAAAUAUGGGAUAGGUUAGGCAUAAUCUUCGAAUGUAUGCUUGGUUUGAUCUUGUUUGGAUUGAUGGCUGCAUGAUUUUAGUGCAAGGCCUAUUUUAGUGCAAGGCCUGGUUUGUGUGAUUGGUCAUGGUUGCAAGGAAAAAUCUAAAUGUAUUGAAAGCAUGAGCAAAUUCAAGGCAUGACAAACUUGGUGCAAAAUGGCUUUCUUGACAUGAAGCAAUAUGGUGAUAAAAUCUCAUGAAAUAAUGCAAGAGUGAAUAUGUAAUGCACAUUAGUGUUUAGAUUAUGGAAAAAAGGUUGGUUGACCAAAAAAUCAACAGUUGACCAAAAGUCAACCUUUGUAAAAAUUGCAUUUUUUGCAUUUCCUUUUGUAAUUGACAAUGUAAAUGCUAUUUUAAUGAUUGAAUAAUCAUUUACUUGAAUGAAA